rnacentral:rRNA from 1 species
GACGGAGGGGGCUAGCGUUGUUCGGAAUUACUGGGCGUAAAGCGCGCGUAGGCGGCCGGUCAAGUUAGGCGUGAAAGGCCUGGGCUCAACCUGGGAACGGCGCUUAAGACUGAUCGGCUGGAGUCCGGGAGAGGGUGGUGGAAUUCCCAGUGUAGAGGUGAAAUUCGUAGAUAUUGGGAGGAACACCGGUGGCGAAGGCGGCCACCUGGCCCGGCACUGACGCUGAGGCGCGAAAGCGUGGGGAGGCAAACAGG